rnacentral:rRNA from 1 species
GUUGGGUAGGGGAGCGUUCUGUAAGCCUGUGAAGGUGGCCUGUGAGGGUUGCUGGAGGUAUCAGAAGUGCGAAUGCUGACAUAAGUAACGAUAAAGCGGGUGAAAAGCCCGCUCGCCGGAAGACCAAGGGUUCCUGUCCAACGUUAAUCGGGGCAGGGUGAGUCGACCCCUAAGGCGAGGCCGAAAGGCGUAGUCGAUGGGAAACGGGUUAAUAUUCCCGUACUUGGUGUUACUGCGAAGGGGGGACGGAGAAGGCUAUGUUGGCCGGGCGACGGUUGUCCCGGUUUAAGCGUGUAGGUGUGUGUUCCAGGUAAAUCCGGUUCACUUUAACACUGAGGCGUGACGACGAGGCACUACGGUGCUGAAGCAACAAAUGCCCUGCUUCCAGGAAAAGCCUCUAAGCAUCAGGUAACAUCAAAUCGUACCCCAAACCGACACAGGUGGUCAGGUAGAGAAUACCAAGGCGCUUGAGAGAACUCGGGUGAAGGAACUAGGCAAAAUGGUGCCGUAACUUCGGGAGAAGGCACGCUGACACGUAGGUGAAGUGAUUUACUCAUGGAGCUGAAGUCAGUCGAAGAUACCAGCUGGCUGCAACUGUUUAUUAAAAACACAGCACUGUGCAAACACGAAAGUGGACGUAUACGGUGUGACGCCUGCCCGGUGCCGGAAGGUUAAUUGAUGGGGUCAGCGCAAGCGAAGCUCCUGAUCGAAGCCCCGGUAAACGGCGGCCGUAACUAUAACGGUCCUAAGGUAGCGAAAUUCCUUGUCGGGUAAGUUCCGACCUGCACGAAUGGCGUAAUGAUGGCCAGGCUGUCUCCACCCGAGACUCAGUGAAAUUGAACUCGCUGUGAAGAUGCAGUGUACCCGCGGCAAGACGGAAAGACCCCGUGAACCUUUACUAUAGCUUGACACUGAACAUUGAGCCUUGAUGUGUAGGAUAGGUGGGAGGCUUUGAAGUGUGGACGCCAGUCUGCGUGGAGCCGACCUUGAAAUACCACCCUUUAAUGUUUGAUGUUCUAACGUGGACCCGUAAUCCGGGUUGCGGACAGUGUCUGGUGGGUAGUUUGACUGGGGCGGUCUCCUCCUAAAGAGUAACGGAGGAGCACGAAGGUUGGCUAAUCCUGGUCGGACAUCAGGAGGUUAGUGCAAUGGCAUAAGCCAGCUUGACUGCGAGCGUGACGGCGCGAGCAGGUGCGAAAGCAGGUCAUAGUGAUCCGGUGGUUCUGAAUGGAAGGGCCAUCGCUCAACGGAUAAAAGGUACUCCGGGGAUAACAGGCUGAUACCGCCCAAGAGUUCAUAUCGACGGCGGUGUUUGGCACCUCGAUGUCGGCUCAUCACAUCCUGGGGCUGAAGUAGGUCCCAAGGGUAUGGCUGUUCGCCAUUUAAAGUGGUACGCGAGCUGGGUUUAGAACGUCGUGAGACAGUUCGGUCCCUAUCUGCCGUGGGCGCUGGAGAACUGAGGGGGGCUGCUCCUAGUACGAGAGGACCGGAGUGGACGCAUCACUGGUGUUCGGGUUGUCAUGCCAAUGGCACUGCCCGGUAGCUAAAUGCGGAAGAGAUAAGUGCUGAAAGCAUCUAAGCACGAAACUUGCCCCGAGAUGAGUUCUCCCUGAGACUUUAGGUCUCCUGAAGGAACGUUGAAGACGACGACGUUGAUAGGCCGGGUGUGUAAGCGCAGCGAUGCGUUGAGCUAACCGGUACUAAUGAACCGUGAGGCUUAACCUU